AACGGUCAUACCAUGCUGAAUAUACCGGUUCUCGUUAGAUCACUGAAGUCAUGCAUCAUUGGGCGCGGUCAGCAUGGUAUUGGGUGGGUGACCACCUGGGAACACCGCGUGCCGUU